rnacentral:rRNA from 1 species
AAUCACGCUGAAACACCGGUUCUCGUUCGAUCACCGAAGUUAAGCAUCGUAGAGCCAGGUCAGUACUUAGAUGGGGGACCGCUUGGAAACACCUGGUACUGUAAG